rnacentral:lncRNA from 1 species
UUACGAAUCAAGUAAAAUUUUUAAAAAUGAAGAAAUCAAAAAUGCACUUCAAUUGGGACUAGAACAAGCAAUGUGUACAAAAUUUCCAGAAAUUUAUAUACACUAUUCUUUCAGUUCUUUUUUUAUGAACAUUCAGAAAUAUGGCGAUGAAAAUACAAUAAAAGUAUGUGCACACACGUCAGAUAUGACCAAAUUAGGAAGUAGCACUAAUACUGAUACUACUAGUGGUAAUAGCAUUAGCAAUAGUAAUGGUAAUGACAAAGACAAUAACAUUCAGAACACUACUUCUGUGGAAAAUUUAAUUUUAAAUAAAGAGAAUGGUAAUAUUUUAUUAAUGCUUGGAUGCGAAAGAGGUUUUUCUAAUCUUGAAAUUUAUUUAAUACAUAGAAUGGGUUUUUUUUUUUUUAAUGUAAGUGAAAAAAUAUUAAAAUGCGAAACAGCGUUAUUAAUAUUAAUAGGUCAGCUACUUUUAUUAACAGAAAAUGUGUCUAUUCGGCCUAGUAAAAAAAAAAUGAGAAGAUGUUCAGAAAGUGGUAGUACUCACAUAAAUGACAGUUUAAAAAAUGAAACAGAUAAAAUAGUUUAUAAUAAGAUAGAAAAUACAAAUAUAAAACAAGAACAAUGUUAUGUACAAAAAAGAAAUAUGCACAUUUUUAAAAAUGAAGAAAUGGCUAGUCAAAUCGAAAAUAUACCUAUGAAUGAAACAUAUUCUGAACAAAUAAUAAAUUUUAUUAAUAUUUUUUUAUAUGAUCUGGAAAAUAACCAAACAAAUAAAAAUAGUUUGAAUAGCAAUGCAGACAGUAAUAUAUUAAAGAAAAACACAAAUAUUAUUGACACUCUUUUAAAAAAGCUUAAUUCGUUUAAUAGUGAUGAUAAACAAUAUUUUCAAAUCGUAUAUUUAAGUUUGCUACUUAAAAAAAUAAAAUAUAAAAAUCAAAUUUCUGCUUCAUUUAAUGAUAUAAAACAUAUUGUUGACGAAGAUGGUGUAUUUAUAUAUAGGACACAAAAAUAUACGGUUAAAAAAAAAAAUUACUCAACUGAUUAAACGUUGGUAUUGAUUUUUAUGUUGCCACAUAUAUAUAUAUAUAUAUAUACACAUAUGCGCAUAUUUUCGUUUUUGUACAUUUCAUUUUGUUUAAGUUUUUACACGAAUGCAACGACUAUUUUCUUGCUUUUCUUGUUUUUUUGUUUUUUUUUUUUUUUUUAAAUGCUAAAUUAGCAAAAAAAAAUAUA